AGAGUUUGAUCAUGGCUCAGAACGAACGCUGGCGGCGUGCUUCAUACAUGCAAGUCGAGCGAGAAAGCAUCCUUCGGGGUGUGAGUAAAGCGGCGAACGGGUGCGUAACACGUGGGUAACUUGCCCAACGGUUCGGGAUAAGCCCUCGAAAGGGGGUCUAAUACCGAAUGAGGUCCGGAACCGGCAUCGGUACCGGAUGAAAGGCGGUCAUCUUCGGAUGGUCGUCGCCGAUGGAUAGGCCCGCGGUCCAUUAGCUUGUUGGUGGGGUAACGGCCUACCAAGGCUGCGAUGGAUAGCCGACCUGAGAGGGUGAUCGGCCACACUGGGACUGAGAUACGGCCCAGACUCCUACGGGAGGCAGCAGUAGGGAAUAUUGCGCAAUGGGCGAAAGCCUGACGCAGCAACGCCGCGUGGGUGACGAAGCUCUUUGGAGUGUAAAACCCUGUCAGUGGGAAAGAAACGGCCACGCAGGUAAUGGCGUGGUCCUGACGGUACCCGCAGAGGAAGUUCCGGCUAACUCCGUGCCAGCAGCCGCGGUAACACGGGGGGAACGAGCGUUGUUCGGAUUUACUGGGCGUAAAGGGUGCGUAGGCGGGCCGGUCAGUCGGAUGCGAAACCUCACGGCUUAACCGUGAGCUGCCAUUCGAAACUGCUGGUCUUGAGUACGGGAGAGGAAAGCGGAAUUCCUGGUGUAGCGGUGAAAUGCGUAGAUAUCAGGAGGAACACCGGUGGCGAAGGCGGCUUUCUGGACCGAUACUGACGCUGAGGCACGAAGGCCGGGGGAGCAAACAGGAUUAGAUACCCUAGUAGUCC
rnacentral:rRNA from 1 species